UACGAAGGGGGCUAGCGUUGCUCGGAAUCACUGGGCGUAAAGGGUGCGUAGGCGGGUCUUAAGUCAGGGGUGAAAUCCUGGAGCUCAACUCCAGAACUGCCUUUGAUACUGGACGAUCUUGAGUUCGGGAGAGGUGAGUGGAACUGCGAGUGUAGAGGUGAAAUUCGUAGAUAUUCGCAAGAACACCAGUGGCGAAGGCGGCUUUCUGGACUGUAACUGACGCUGAGGCAUGAAAGCGUGGG
rnacentral:rRNA from 1 species